rnacentral:rRNA from 1 species
CACGUAGGCACCAAGCGUUGUCCGGAUUUAUUGGGCGUAAAGAGCUCGUAGGCGGUUCAGUAAGUCGGGUGUGAAAACUCUGGGCUUAACCCAGAGCCGCCACCCGAUACUGCUGUGACUAGAGUCCGGUAGGGGAGUGGGGAACUCCUAGUGUAGAGGUGGAAUUCGUAGAUAUUAGGAAGAACACCAGUGGCGAAGGCGGCUCACUGGUCCGGUACUGACGCUGAGGUGCGAAAGCGUGGGGAGCAAACAGG